GCAUCGGUGGUUUAGUGGUAAAAUUAGCCGUUGCCAUUAAAAGAUUAGUUAACCUAAUUAAUCUUCAAAUGUCGGCUAGCCCCGGGUUCGAUUCCCGGCCGAUGCA
rnacentral:tRNA from 1 species